GUCCCAUUUUCGGGAGAGAAGAGGAUUGGAAAAAGAUCCAGGGAGCCUGUAGGCAAGGCUGGAUGGAAACUUUGCUGCUAACUCACUUCUUUACUGCUAACUCAGCUUCAGCGCUGAGCACAGCCCCACCUGCUGAGUCACUGCGGACAGGACACAGCAGCAGGAGUGAGAGUAUCAGCGUAUCAGAUGGGCCCCAGUGUGUCCUGACUGCUGAUCAAGAGGAGGCAUCCCAGCCUCCUGCCCUCGGGGGAAAGGAUGCUGAGGGGGGUGGGUCUUCUGCAGUCUCCCAGAGGCCCCAGCAGGAUUGAGCCCCAGUUUCUACGAAGGCAACCUGGUCAUUCAUGCACCUCCUUUUGGCUUCUCCCCUGUUCCUGUCUCAGCUUCCCACUCCCUUAUAGGUGCUUGCUGGGCUCGUUUUCUUUCUUUCUUUUUUGGCGGCGCCGUGUGGCGUGUGGGAUCUUAGUUCCCCGACCAGGCAAUGGAACCCGUGCCCCCUGCAUUGGGAGUGAGGAGUCUUAACCACUGGACCGCCAGGGAAGUCCCCUUGCUGGGGUCAUUUUCUGAAUAGACUAUUUGCAUUUAAA